GUGCGCCGAGACUGUGACCGAUAUAUCUGAUGUUAGCCAAUGGAAUUUCACAUCCCUUGUUCAAGGCAAUGGUAAAGCUGCAAGAAAAAAUUCAAUUAAAUGUGGAUGUCGUAACUUCGAUAAAUAAGUUAUACUUUGCCACGAGUUGACCUGUCUGACGAGUGUUCCGCGUUGCCUUCCAAUAUUCUCCCGUGUUAAUGAUGGGUACGUCAUCAGUACAGGCUCCUUGAGACCAAUCUAUCCCAAAUGCGAUCUCGCCUUUCUGUAAAAGUAGGAGAUUAUUUUAUUAAACAGAUGUGUUAUAUUCAUUCUAAUUACUCAUUUGCGAAUGCGUGAUAUCUACCUUUACAAGAGCUGAAGCCAAGUCUUCGAAACGAGUCGCGUUUGCGGAACUCAUAAAGCCGUGGACUAUCAAGUUUAUCCUUUGAGUUG